UUUCCGUAGGUGAACCUGCGGAAGGAUCAUUACCGUGUUCUACGCCGGGGGCCCGCCCCUCGGCUUGCACCUCCCUUUGCGUAUCCAUUCUGGUUGCUUCGGCGGAGAGACGCCUCGCGUGUCGCCGCCGGAAGACCUUCAAACUCUGGUUUUUGCAGUGUCGUCUGAGCCACUAUGAAAAUGAAAUAAAACUUUCAACGAUGGAUCUCUUGGUUCCAGGAUCGAUGAAGAACGCAGC
rnacentral:misc_RNA from 1 species